CGCUGGCGGCGUGCCUGACACAUGCAAGUCGAACGGGGUAACUCGCUGAAAUUGAGAUCAGCUUGCUGAAGGAAAUUUCUUGAGUUACUUAGUGGCGGACGGGUGAGUAACGCGUGAGCAACCUGCCUUACAGAGGGGGACAACAGUUGGAAACGACUGCUAAUACCGCAUGACGUCGCGGGACCGCAUGAUCCUGCGACCAAAGAUUUAUCGCUGUAAGAUGGGCUCGCGUCCGAUUAGAUAGUUGGUGAGGUAACGGCCCACCAAGUCGACGAUCGGUAGCCGGACUGAGAGGUUGAACGGCCACAUUGGGACUGAGACACGGCCCAGACUCCUACGGGAGGCAGCAGUGGGGGAUAUUGCACAAUGGGCGAAAGCCUGAUGCCAGCAACGCCGCGUGAAGGAAGAAGGUCUUCGGAUUGUAAACUUCUGUUUUCGGUGAAGAAACAAAUGACGGUAGCCGAAGAGGAAGCCACGGCUAACUACGUGCCAGCAGCAGC
rnacentral:rRNA from 1 species